rnacentral:rRNA from 1 species
AGUAACACGUGGGCAACCUGCCUUAUAGAGGGGAAUAGCCUUCCGAAAGGAAGAUUAAUACCGCAUAACAUUACAUUUUCGCAUGAAGAAGUAAUUAAAGGAGUAAUCCGCUAUAAGAUGGGCCCGCGGCGCAUUAGCUAGUUGGUGAGGUAACGGCUCACCAAGGCGACGAUGCGUAGCCGACCUGAGAGGGUGAUCGGCCACAUUGGGACUGAGACACGGCCCAGACUCCUACGGGAGGCAGCAGUGGGGAAUAUUGCACAAUGGGGGAAACCCUGAUGCAGCAACGCCGCGUGAGUGAUGAAGGUCUUCGGAUCGUAAAGCUCUGUCUUCAGGGACGAUAAUGACGGUACCUGAGGAGGAAGCCACGGCUAACUACGUGCCAGCAGCCACGGUAAUACGUAUGUGGCGAGCGUUGUCCGGAUUUACUGGGCGUAAAGGGAGCGUAGGCGGAUUUUUAAGUGAUAUGUGAAAUACCCGGGCUCAACUUGGGUGCUGCA